CCUANGGGGGGCAGCAGUGAGGAAUAUUGCGCAAUGGAGGAAACUCUGACGCAGCGACGCCGCGUGAAGGAUGAAGGCCCUCUGGGUCGUAAACUUCUGUAGAGAGGGAAGAAUUUCUCGUUUCACGAGAUUGACGGUACCUCUAAAGUAAGGGUCGGCUAACUACGUGCCAGCAGCCGCGGUAAUACGUAGGACCCAAGCGUUGUCCGGAUUUACUGGGUGUAAAGGGAGCGCAGGCGGAUUUUCAAGUCGAUGGUGAAAUCUUGCGGCUCAACCGCAAAACAGCCGUUGAUACUGUUAAUCUUGAGUAUGGAAGAGAGUGGCGGAAUUCAUGGUGUAGCAGUGAAAUGCGUAGAUAUCAUGAAGAACACCGGUUGCGAAGGCGGCCACUUAGUCCAUUACUGACGCUCAUGCUCGAAAGCGUGGGGAUCAAACAGGAUUAGAUACCCGUNUANUC
rnacentral:rRNA from 1 species